rnacentral:rRNA from 1 species
GGGUUGUGAGGUUAAGCGACCAAGCGUACACGGUGGAUGCCCUGGCAGUCAGAGGCGAUGAAGGACGUGCUAAUCUGCGAAAAGCGCCGGUAAGGUGAUAUGAACCGUUAUAACCGGCGAUGUCCGAAUGGGGAAACCCAGUGUGAUUCGUCACACUAUCAUUAACUGAAUCCAUAGGUUAAUGAGGCGAACCGGGGGAACUGAAACAUCUAAGUACCCCGAGGAAAAGAAAUCAACCGAGAUUCCCCCAGUAGCGGCGAGCGAACGGGGAGGAGCCCAGAGCCUGAAUCAGCAUGUGUGUUAGUGGAAGCGUCUGGAAAGGCGCGCGAUACAGGGUGAGAGCCCCGUACACAAAAGCGCACGUGCUGUGAGCUCGAUGAGUAGGGCGGGACACGUGGUAUCCUGUCUGAAUAUGGGGGGACCAUCCUCCAAGGCUAAAUACUCCUGACUGACCGAUAGUGAACCAGUACCGUGAGGGAAAGGCGAAAAGAACCCCGGCGAGGGGAGUGAAACAGAACCUGAAACCGUGUACGUACAAGCAGUGGGAGCCCCACCACUAAGCCAGUGGUGAACUCCACAUACGCAUCCUUUGCUGAGGAUACGGUUAACGGAGCGAGAGCGACGUUCAACCGCAAAAGAAGCAGAGGGGGCUUAGUGGUGGGGUGACUGCGUACCUUUUGUAUAAUGGGUCAGCGACUUAUAUUCUGUAGCAAGGUUAACCGCAUAGGGGAGCCGGAGGGAAACCGAGUCUUAAUUGGGCGUUAAGUUGCAGGGUAUAGACCCGAAACCCGGUGAUCUAGCCAUGGGCAGGUUGAAGGUUGGGUAACACUAACUGGAGGACCGAACCGACUAAUGUUGAAAAAUUAGCGGAUGACCUGUGGCUGGGGGUGAAAGGCCAAUCAAACCGGGAGAUAGCUGGUUCUCCCCGAAAGCUAUUUAGGUAGCGCCUCGUGAAUUCAUCUCCGGGGGUAGAGCACUGUUUCGGCCAGGGGGCCAUCCCGGCUUACCAAUCCGAUGCAAACUGCGAAUACCGGAGAAUGUUAUCACGGGAGACACACGGCGGGUGCUAACGUCCGUCGUGAAGAGGGAAACAACCCAGACCGCCAGCUAAGGUCCCAAAGUCAUGGUUAAGUGGGAAACGAUGUGGGAAGGCCCAGACAGCCAGGAUGUUGGCUUAGAAGCAGCCAUCAUUUAAAGAAAGCGUAAUAGCUCACUGGUCGAGUCGGCCUGCGCGGAAGAUGUAACGGGGCUAAACCAUGCACCGAAGCUGCGGCAGCGA